GGUCAGGAGAUUGAGACCAUCCUGGCUAACACGGUGAAACCCCGUCUCUACUAAAAAUACAAAAAAAUUAGCCGGGCGUGGCGGCGGGCGCCUGUAGUCCCAGCUACUUGGGAGGCUGAGGCAGGAGAAUGGUGCGAACCCGGGAGGCAGAUUUUGCAGAGAGCCGAGAUCGUGCCACUGCACUCCAGCCUGGGCGACAGAGCAAGACUCCGUCUCAAAACAAAAAACAAACAAACAAAUAUGGAGCAUUCUGAUAUGAAUAAGACACUUGCUCACUUCUCAAUUCCUUGGUGUCCAGCUCUACAAGUGUAUAUAGACUUCCAAAGAAUAUUUAAAUCCUUUAACAAAAAUGCCACCUAAGAAAAUAUGAAAUACUUCAGUCUGUCUGUCAGUGCUCACUUCCUGUCUAGAAACUUUCAGGCUCCGGCACAAAUGAACCAUGUUCUUCGCCUAAGUCAUUUAUGGAACAUCUGCUUUCGGUUUAGCAUCAGUGUGCUAUUAAUCCAGGUCUUCCAAGAAACAAAUGCCAAGAUGGUAUUAAACAUGAAAUGAUUUUAAUUGUUUACAUGCCUGAAAGUAAAUAAAGAGGGUGCCAGCUAAGGCUGAAAAAGUCUUCAGUGAUAUAAAUUUUACCACACUUAAAGAGAGAGAGGAAAAGUUUAAGUGGAAGCUCCUACUCAGCCAUGCUGUCUAAGGAAGAUUUGGCAAAACCUUGAGCUAAAGUCAGCCAACGGAAAUCCCACCUUUCUCCAAAGAAUGGAUCUGCUUUACUAUCUUGCUUGGUCUUAUUGCUUUGUGACCUAGUAAUAUCUUUCUCGAGUGCAUGAAACAUCUCAGAAAUGCAAACAUCAAGGAAGAUACUAAUCCUUUCUUCCAGUUUCUGUGUGAGGGUUGGAGGCUGACUUUGGUGGUGAUCUUGCUCCAAAUUAUAGAACUACAUCCUGUCAUGAAGAGAAGUUUGUCUUCUCGAUAAAGCCAAGUAGCUAACAGAGAUGGUCACCCCAAUUACCAGAUGGACAUAAUUAUACUUGAAUGCUGACCUACAACAUUUUGUGCUGUGCAGAGGCUUUGAAAAUCAAACAACUUUGAAAAUACAAAGCACCGCGUGGAUGGCCUCACUCUGUCGCUCAGGCUGGAGUGGCACGAUCUUGGCUCACUGCAGUCUCUGCCUCCUCCUCUUGGAUGCAAGCAAUUCGGCCUCCAAGUAGCUGAGAUUACAGAGAGGCUGAAAACUCAAGAAAUGUGGACUAAGUGUGUGGGCAAGUGUGUCACUGCUGACUAAAACUAUGAACAGACAGAGUCUCACUCUGUCAUCCAGGCUGGAGUCCAGUGGUAUGAUCUUGGCUCACUGCAAACCUUUGCCUCCCUGGUCCAAGUGAUUCUCCUGCUUCAGCCUCCAAAAGUAGCUAGGACUACAGCUAAUCCUAGUGAAUCCUCCAUGAGGCCAUUGUUCUGAAUGGAAGAAGAGAGAUAUAUGCAAUAGGAAAAGGUGACGUGGAAUCUAUGAGAGUCCCAUGUUUAUGUAGCAUAUUGUGCCUACUGUAUCUAUUCAGGAGGGGAUUCUUAAUAUAAGAGAUACAUUUACAAAAUUGCUUCCAUUACCUACAAACACCAUAAAGAAAAGUAACAGUGAUGCAUAUGGACAGAACUGCAUCACCAGAAGUUAGAGGAGGAAAGCAUUUCCUAUCCAACUUUAAAUGCUGAGAAUGAAUAACCAGGAAAAAUGGUACAGAGGACAAAAUACCAACAAAAGUCUCCAAAAGUGAUGUGAAGAAAAUAAGGGGCUCAUCAUUCUAAAUUCUGCAGGAGAGCAGUAGAAGAAAUCAAGGGAAUCCCACAUUAUGUGGGACUCUGCGACUGUAUUGGACACAUAGAAUAAUCUAGGAUAAUCUCUCUGUCUCAAGAUCUUCAAAUGAAUCGCAGCUGUAACGUCCCUUUUGCCAGGGAAGGCAAUAUAUUCACAGAUUCUGAGGAUUAGGAAUGAGACCUCCUUGGAGCCAUUGUUUAACCUUUCAUAGGCUGGAUAAUAUAGUUUUGCAAACUCAAUUUGGGCAGCUGGACAGUGAUCAGGCAACUUUCCGAGUCCCUGACUCCCACCUAGACUGAGAUUCCAAUGCUAGGUGCCCAGAAGUUUCCAACCAAUGCAAAGGUGGCAGCUGGCAAGGGCCCUGUGCAGCAGUAAGGCGAGUCAUAGACUGAUGAGAGAUCACCAUUGGGAAUGAGCUCCAUUUGCCCACAACAGUGAUCGGCUGAUGGCUCCACCCUCUACUUAGUCGCUUCUGUUUCCUGUCCCAUGGAUUCCUCACCCCACACUAAUGCUUCCAGGAACAACUUCUCAAAUAAAUCACUUGCACAUUUCUAGAUGAUAUGAAUUAUAUUCAGACCUGAAGAGAGGACAGAAAAAUUCUGGACUUCAAACUCAAUGCAAUGAUUGGAUAAGACUUUCGGAGUAACUUCUUUUGGGAUUGCGUAAGAGAUCAAGACUACAGACUUUGAGGUAAAAACAACCUAGAUUCGUGAGAAGAGGAAGAGUAAAAGAACUGCAGCUUUCCUCCCACUCUUAAGGUAUAAAUAUGAAGUCUAGGUCAUUUCGAGUUGGAGAAGCCCCAGCUACUUCAUAAGUGUGAUGCUAGUUUUGAAUGUGCAUUGAGGGACAGCUGGUGUUGAGAAAAAAGGAAAUUACCUUAAUACCAAUAAUUUCAGCACAGAUUGUCAUGUGGUUGGGAAAAUAUUUGAUAUGAAGACAUUGAAUCCACCUUCUAAAGAAUAACAAGAUAUAUUCAUGAAUGGAAGGAUUUGGUAGGGUACAUGAGGACAGAUAUAAAACUGCACAACCAAUGUUACACAAAGGAGGUUUAUUCUUCUUCACAAGAAAGUGAUGUGUAGAGAUAUUCACUGAAUUAUUGAAGAUUAUAUGUGGCAGAGUCAGCUUGGGGAUCCAGGUUGUCUAAUCCAAAGAUUGUUUAACCAAGAAACAAGGUCAAGGCAUGUUCUUCGAUGCUUGUUCAUUAACAGCUCUGCGGGUGAUGCUCCUAGAGAGGUCUGAUGUGUUGUGUGAUGUUCUCACACAAACUAUGUUAAUUUUUGAUCAGUGAUUGUGAGUUUUAAUUGUGUUGAGGUAACUAGAGAUUUGUUAAGUGGACGUUACUUCAAAAAGGUAAGUUGAAGCAGUAAAUGUUAAAACCAAGGAAUCCCCCAAAUUCUUGCCCUUUAUUUUUUGCAUGUUAAUUCCAGAAAAGAAAAAAAAAAAAGCUUGUGGGUUAACGUGGUAUUUAUGCAAGGCUGCCAAUGUAAAUAUAAUUCUGUGAUUUAAUUUUUUACUGGCAUGACAUUAUAUAUAUGUAUAAAAUGUGCAUACAUAAUAUAUACAUAUGUAUAUAUGUUAUAUAUUAGAUGUGUAUGCAUAUAUAAUAUAUAUUAGAUGUAUAAAAUAUAUUACAUAUAUAAUAAAAUAUUAGAUAUGUAUUAUAUAGUAGUAUAUAUAAAAUAUAUACAUAUCUAAUAAUACAUUAUAGAUCAUGUAUUAAUAUAUACAUAUAUCUAGUAUAUACAAUAUAUACAUAUCUAUUAUAUUUAUACACACAUACAUAUACAUAUGUGUAUGUGUAUGUCUGUGCCUGUGUGUCUUUUUGUCUUGCAAGCUCAAUCUUUAAAAAGAAGAGUUCGAGGAGGGAUGGAGAAGGAAGAGAGUGAUUAUAUAUACAUAUACUGUCCAUGUUUGCUUAGCUAGUAUGAAGCAGAAUCUGGAUUCAAAUUCAAGAAGUCUGAUUCCCAAACAGCCACCCAAUUAGGACCGCUUUGAAAACUCCGAGUCUUCUAUUUGAUAUAAGUAUAGCUCAUUGCCAUGGAAAUAAACAUAUGUUUCUUUUUUAAAUUAAAAAAAAUAUUUUUAUUUUGUUUUCAACAUUUAGCAUUUUUUUGCAUCAAAGUUCUAAGUAGCUGCAUGUCUGUUUAUAAUGUGUAUAUUUGUUGUUUGUUUUUCUGUUUUGUUUCUGUAUAGUUUCUUUGUUUGUAUCACUGGUAAUUUAAUCCCUCAUGCUAUGCUGUGGGAUUAUGUACAACAACACAACUUCUUAGCCUCUUCAAACCCUUUCACUGCAAGCUGCUUUUUUGUGCUUUUUGAAAGAAAAGGAAGAAAAACACAUUGCAUUUUCUUAAGAUAAAAUGAUACCUGCUUCUUCAUUUCCUCCUACUCCUUCCUAUUAUCUUUUGUAGAAAGAAUUGCUGAAUCUAUUGAUAUGUAAUUUUCAUUUAAUUCUCCAACAUCUUAUUGCUAUUUAAAAUGGUUUAAGAAAACUGGCUUAAUAUAGCCAAGAAAAAUUCUAUAGUAAUACUUGUCUGUAAUUUCUCUAUAUUUAAAUAAAAUAUCAUUUCUAUCUUGGAGGUUUGAUUUGGCCAUUUAAAAAUGCUAAUGUUUUAUUGUUUUUUCAAAAAAAUACUACAUGCAUGCUCAUAGUAUAAACAUCAAUGUUUCAUUAGGAUAUAUAGUGAAAAGUCAGUAACUUUACAACCUCUGUUUCAAACCCAACCAGUAAUUUAAGUUGUUUUCAUAACAAAGUGUUAUUAUUUAUCUUCUAAUACCUAUAAAAUAUUUAUUUACUCCCCAAAUUAAAUAGAGUGUUGGUUCUUCAAUGAAGGUAUGAAGUUACUUUCAAUUAAAUAUGCAGUUUGAUUAGAAGAAAAAAAAAUCCAUCAGAUCUCAGCCAAGCUCUUUUGGAUGAUUAUUUUUCUUCAAAAUCAAAUACACUAAAAUUUCCAAACAGUAACAGUUACAAUGUUUCAGUUUCUUUUAAGGUAGCCUGAACUGAGACACAUUAAGGUUUAUAUCUAAUUUCAUAGUUCUGUUCAGUAGGAAAUAAGUAAAUUAGUUUAAAGGACUGAUCCAUAUCAGGAGAUCAGGACUGGACAAAGUGUUAAUUUAUCUACAGAUUUUACCAGGCAGAUUGCCAAUAUCCAAGUUCAUUAGACAGGUCCUAGGACUAAUAAGAACUCUUGGGGGCUACAAUGUGAAAUACCUGAGUAUAUGAGUCAGGUAAAGACUUUAGAAAGUUUGGCUUCUACUCUCAUAUUCCCAGGAGUUGAAUAGAUUGGAGUGGAAAAAAUGUGGUCAAAAACUAGUGAUUUUGGAUUAGAAGUAGGGCAUAAAGCUCCUAUUAUUGCACUUGGGCAAUAUUAACUGGAUUGCAAGAAACUGUAAUAUGCAGAAACAGCAUAUUUCCCUUAGGGAGUACAUUUUGUUAAACUUAGUAUUCUUGCUACCUGUUUUGUUACCUAAGCUUAAUGGACCUGGCCCUAGACUUUAGCUUGGUGCAUGGUGAAAAUUGACCUUAAGCAACUGCAGCAUUGUCCAAAUAUUUGGUUUCACAUAGACCAGUUUUGGUUCUUGUUUCUGUGUGACUUUGAGGGGCUCUUUAAGAAAUCCAAGGACAAGGUGCCACAUUUAUUAAGGCCCCGCCAUUCACAAUGCAUGAUGCUAGAGCCUGACAGUGCACCAUGCUAGAGACUGAAGAGACAUAAAAAAAAGAAAAGGCAGAGUUCUUGCUAUCAGGUUCUUAAAAUUUUCUUUGUUUUGGUUAAAUUCUUGAUUGGAUUUUUUCACUAAAUGUUUGGCCCUAUUAAAAAUAAGUAAAGAAAAAAUGAAGGAAGAAUGGAAGAGAGGGAGAAUAGGAAAUGAAUGAAACAAAGCCAAGUAAGAGAUACGUCUACUACAGACCUGCAAGUUGGCAGUGCUUGCAGAAGACAGUUGACAUAUUCUAGCCUGGUUCACAUUUUCUGGUUAACUUUUGAGCAUAGAAUAAAGAAUAUAAUAAAAUGCUUUUUUUUUUUUUUGCACAAUGAACUUUAAACAAAUCAGGAGAGUAUAUUGGUAAUUUAGAGAAGUAGCAAUUCUCAUUAAAUCUGUUUUUCAUUGAAUUAUCAUGCCCUUAAAAUUAUAUGAUAGAUUAUUAUCUUCGGUAGUAUUAGUUUAAAUAAGAAUUAUAUACAACCAAAAUAUCAGUAAGGCUAAUUCUCUGAGACCAUAAGAGAACCAAGUCAAUAUCCCCAUAGCUACAUCAUAUUGAUCAUUCAUUUGAUUUAAGAAGAAAGAAGACAAAUAUGUUAGUGAAAGGGAGACAAAUGAGUAUGUGCCUGGCCUGGCCAAUUCCUGACUCAUUUACAGAGGAAGCUAAUAUAACUCUCUUACUCAUUUUAUGGGAAAUAUGAUAGAUCUGAUUAUAUAAUUUAUGCCUCCUUUCAGACUUCCUACACCCCACUAAUUGUCUCUUCCUUUCUUUUCUCCACCUUUUGCUCAGGUAUUUGGCAGUUAUUGCACUUUUUUGGAUCUUUUUUUUAAGGAUGUUACUAUCAAUCUUUUGCCUACAUCUAAAUGACUUACCUAUGAAGAAGAUCCCAUUUUUAGCCUUAAUAUUUGCAAAUUACUUGAGAGAUGGAGUCUCACUCUAUCACCCAGGCUGGAGGACAGUGGCACGACCUCAGCUCCCUGCAACCUCCACCUCCCAGGUUACUGAUGGAUCCGUCCUAAAUGCCAUCCAUCUCAAGACAGAGGCCCACAGAAGUCAAUGUAUCUUCAAGAUGGGAGUACCUGGAGAUGGCUGUAGAGACCAUGUAGCAGGAAAUGGUGACAGAGAAGAGCUGGGCCUCUGGUACCAACAUGCUUCCCCCCCGUUACAGCUAUGCGGGCUGAUAGUGACGCAAUGUGUGGUUUCAAUACUUCAUAGUGUCUUACUUCACCUCAGUAUAAAGUACUUUGAAAGCAUCAAGGAAAUGGUCCUCAAAAAAGGCUUAUCCAGUCAGGACAUCUGGUGCUGGCUCUGGAAUGAGUGGAUGAAGAUAAGGCCUUCCAGUAUGGAGGUGAUAAAAAUCAGGGAAGACAGGUAAUCACAAUGGAUGACAGACCAGGAUUCCCAGAUAUCUUGGCAUGGCUGGAACAAUGUACAGAUCAAACCAUGUAAAACUUAAUGGGUAUAAACCAACUCUUCACUUUGGUCUAAAAAAGUCCAUUUGCAUGGCUUCUAGUUAAAGGUGGACAGGCUCACUUUAGAAUCCUAUUAUAUACAAAGGAUUUAGGGGGUUUAGUUCACAAUGUGCUAAAGCCAUCUCACAGUGACCAUGGUAUGAGCUGUGUGAUUUGGUUUAAAUAUAAUAGAGAAUGAAGGACAAGGUUGAGGGUGGUGGUUACAGUCCUGCCUGAUUCUGUAGUGCUCAGGUGACCUUUGAAGAAUGAAGAAAGAAGUCAAAACCCCACACUAUUAAGACAUUGGAAGACUGGGAAUGUUUAUUUUCUGAAGAAUAAAAGAUGUAGGAAACAAAAAAAAAAA
rnacentral:lncRNA from 1 species